UGGCUAAUACCGCAUACGCCCUACGGGGGAAAGGAGGGGAUCUUCGGACCUUUCGCGAUUGGAUGAGCCCAAGUGAGAUUAGCUAGUUGGUGAGGUAAUGGCUCACCAAGGCAACGAUCUCUAGCUGGUCUGAGAGGAUGACCAGCCACACUGGGACUGAGACACGGCCCAGACUCCUACGGGAGGCAGCAGUGGGGAAUAUUGCACAAUGGGGGAAACCCUGAUGCAGCCAUGCCGCGUGUGUGAAGAAGGCCUUCGGGUUGUAAAGCACUUUCAGUGGUGAGGAGGCUACUUAGAUUAAUACUCUAAGAUAGUGGACGUUACUCGCAGAAUAAGCACCGGCUAACUCUGUGCCAGCAGCCGCGGUAAUACG
rnacentral:rRNA from 1 species